GACGAACGCUGGCGGCGUGCCUAAUACAUGCAAGUCGAGCGGAGUUGAAAAAAAGUUUACUUUUUUUCUUCUCAGCGGCGGACGGGUGAGUAACACGUGGGCAACCUGCCCUGUAGACUGGGAUAACUUCGGGAAACCGAAGCUAAUACCGGAUAAUCAUAGAAGUUGCAUAGCUUCUAUGUAAAAGUUGGGUUUACCUAACACUACAGGAUGGGCCCGCGUCGCAUUAGCUAGUUGGUAAGGUAACGGCUUACCAAGGCGACGAUGCGUAGCCGACCUGAGAGGGUGAUCGGCCACACUGGGACUGAGACACGGCCCAGACUCCUACGGGAGGCAGCAGUAGGGAAUCUUCCGCAAUGGACGAAAGUCUGACGGAGCAACGCCGCGUGAGCGAUGAAGGCCUUCGGGUCGUAAAGCUCUGUUGUUAGGGAAGAACAAAGUGCUAUUCGAAAUAGGGUGGCCACCCUGG
rnacentral:rRNA from 1 species